rnacentral:rRNA from 1 species
AGUGAACGCUGGCGGUAGGCCUAACACAUGCAAGUCGAACGGCAGCACAGUAAGAGCUUGCUCUUACGGGUGGCGAGUGGCGGACGGGUGAGGAAUACAUCGGCAUCUACUUUUUCGUGGGGGAUAACGUAGGGAAACUUACGCUAAUACCGCAUACGACCUACGGGUGAAAGCAGGGGAUCUUCGGACCUUGCGCGAUUGAAUUAGCCGAUGUCGGAUUAGCUAGUUGGCGGGGUAAAGGCCCACCAAGGCGACGAUCCGUAGCUGGUCUGAGAGGAUGAUCAGCCACACUGGAACUGAGACACGGUCCAGACUCCUACGGGAGGCAGCAGUGGGGAAUAUUGGACAAUGGGCGCAAGCCUGAUCCAGCCAUACCGCGUGGGUGAAGAAGGCCUUCGGGUUGUAAAGCCCUUUUGUUGGGAAAGAAAAGCAGCAGGUUAAUACCCCGCUGUUCUGACGGUACCCAAAGAAUAAGCACCGGCUAACUUCGUG